AUAGACACAAAUCACAAGCUAAUAAGGUACAAUGUUGUGAUCUUUGGUGGAGUGGAUGGCUACUCAAGGAAGGUCCUGUACUUGGAUGCAGCAACUAACAACAGGA